rnacentral:rRNA from 1 species
GCGAAGCCGCGAGGUGGAGCAAAUCCCAUAAAAGGCGUCCCAGUUCGGAUUGCAGGCUGAAACCCGCCUGUAUGAAGUUGGAAUUGCUAGUAAUCGUAGAUCAGCAUGCUACGGUGAAUACGUUCCCGGGCCUUGUACACACCGCCCGUCACACCAUGGGAGCCGGUAAUACCCGAAGUCAGUAGUCCAACCUCGUGAGGACGCUGCCGAAGGUAGGAUUGGCGACUGGGGUGAAGUCGUAACAAGGUACC